GCCGAGUUGGUUAACGUCAACUUGUGACUCAAGUGAGGGCAUUAACGUGGUGGGAUAAUACUGUGGUUUCUCUGGGUUGGGCUUUGAUUGCUAGAUGCUGGCCUGCCCGUUCCAAGCUGAGAGUUGACCCAUGUGACUUGAGCGAAAGCUUUGGGUCUCUUAGGUUCUAAAGUGGAGGGUACAGCGUGAGGCUGGUUCCACAGAGCAGCGAAAACCUCCCUCUCUUAACGGUGGAGGGAUAACAGGCUGCUGCAGCCAGAGUCCUAUAUGCCCAGUGAGCCUAGUCCUUAGACCACCACUUA
rnacentral:SRP_RNA from 2 species